UGCCUUAGUACGGCGAGUGAAGCGGCAAAAGCUCAAAUUUGAAAUCUGGUACCUUCGGUGCCCGAGUUGUAAUUUGGAGAGGGCAACUUUGGGGCCGUUCCUUGUCUAUGUUCCUUGGAACAGGACGUCAUAGAGGGUGAGAAUCCCGUGUGGCGAGGAGUGCGGUUCUUUGUAAAGUGCCUUCGAAGAGUCGAGUUGUUUGGGAAUGCAGCUCUAAGUGGGUGGUAAAUUCCAUCUAAAGCUAAAUAUUGGCGAGAGACCGAUAGCGAACAAGUACAGUGAUGGAAAGAUGAAAAGAACUUUGAAAAGAGAGUGAAAAAGUACGUGAAAUUGUUGAAAGGGAAGGGCAUUUGAUCAGACAUGGUGUUUUGUGCCCUCUGCUCCUUGUGGGUAGGGGAAUCUCGCAUUUCACUGGGCCAGCAUCAGUUUUGGUGGCAGGAUAAAUCCAUAGGAAUGUAGCUUGCCUCGGUAAGUAUUAUAGCCUGUGGGAAUACUGCCAGCUGGGACUGAGGACUGCGACGUAAGUCAAGGAUGCUGGCAUAAUGGUUAUAUGCCGCCCGUCUU
rnacentral:rRNA from 1 species